rnacentral:rRNA from 1 species
GUGAGGAAUAUUGGGCAAUGGGCGAAAGCCUGACCCAGCCACGCCGCGUGAGUGAUGAGGGCCUUCGGGUUGUAAAGCUCUGUGGGGAGGGAAGAAAAAGCGGGAGAGUAACUGCUCUCGUGUUGACGGUACCUCCUUAGCAAGCACCGGCUAACUCUGUGCCAGCAGCCGCGGUAAUACAGAGGGUGCAAACGUUGCUCGGAAUUACUGGGCGUAAAGCGCGUGUAGGCUGACAUGCAAGUCGGGUGUGAAAUCCCAGGGCUCAACCUUGGAACUGCACUCGAAACUGCACGUCUUGAGUACUGGAGAGGGAAGCGGAAUUCCGGGUGUAGAGGUGAAAUUCGUAGAUAUCCGGAGGAACACCAGUGGCGAAGGCGGCUUCCUGGACAGUAACUGACGCUGAGACACGAAAGCGUGGGGAGCAAACAGGAUUAGAUACCCCGGUAGUCC